GAUGAACGCUAGCGGCAGGCUUAACACAUGCAAGUCGAGGGGCAGCAUGAGGGUUAGCAAUAACCCUUGAUGGCGACCGGCGCAAGGGUGCGUAACGCGUGAGCAACUUGCCCGUUUCAGGGGGAUAACCGGUGGAAACGCCGACUAAUUCCCCAUAGUAUUGAUUACAGGCAUCUGUUGUCAAUUAAAGAGUUUCGGAUAAGGAUAGGCUCGCGUGACAUUAGCUAGACGGCGGGGUAACGGCCCACCGUGGCUACGAUGUCUAGGGGUUCUGAGAGGAAGGUCCCCACACUGGAACUGAGACACGGUCCAGACUCCUACGGGAGGCAGCAGUGAGGAAUAUUGGUCAAAUGGGCGCGAGCCUGAACCAGCCAAGUAGCGUGAAGGAUGACUGCCCUACGGGUUGUAAAACUUCUUUUGUUGGGAAUAAAGUUCAGCACGUGUGCUGUUUUGUAUGUACCAUUCGAAUAAGCAUCGGCUAAUUCCGUG
rnacentral:rRNA from 1 species